rnacentral:SRP_RNA from 1 species
AGCCGGGGAAGCAGCGGUUCCUUGUACCUGAAAUCCGCUAUAGCAGGGGUGAUAUCCGGCAGAGGGUGAGUUUGUAAUGUAGCCGCCCUUCAGGGUGCGUGUUGAGAUUCGGGUCUUGCGCAACAGGGCGCUGUGAAUCGUGUCAGGCCAGGAAUGGAGCAGCACUAAGCAGAUGACUUUGUGUGCCGCAAGGGCGCCUGGGUUGAGCGCAUUUUGCAGGU